AGUUACUAUUCAGGAAUACAGAGAUGUGCAUAAAACUCUUCAGCACCAUAGCUGGCACCUUAGCACAUGUUCAAUAAGCAUGUGUUCUAUGAUGAUUACGACCACAACAGAACCUGAGGACGCGUUGGGAGGGCAGUGCCUCCCUGACAGAGCAGCUCAACACCGUGGGAGCGCGGGAACCUCGAAUUCAGAGCCCUCGGACCACCACCAAAGAGCCAAGGGUGAUCACGGCCGGGACAAAGGUCUCCUUUGACCACUUCUGAGCUUUCACCAUGAAACAGAAAUACACGGCAGACAUCCUUCUCCUUGGAAUUAAAAAAACCUGCUGUUGAAUGAAGAAUAAAGGC
rnacentral:lncRNA from 1 species